GCCACGGUGGUCUAGCGGUUAGAACGCUGGCCUUGUAAUCCUGGGGUCUCGGGUUCGAUUCCCGGUGGUUCCA
rnacentral:tRNA from 1 species